CGCAAAGAUGCUCAGUUGACCUUCUAUCAUGUGGUGUUCCAGGAGGAAGGUGCUAUUUGUGAAGUAGGAAGUGGGCCAUCACCAGACACAUGGACCAUCAGUUCCUUGAUCUUGAAUUUCUAGCCCCAUAACUGCAGGUGCCUAUUGUAACUGUGAUCUGAGAGGCUUCACCCAGCAGCUGAUGGAAACAUAUGCGAAGACCCUCAGCCAAACUUCAGGCGGGGCUUGGGAAAUCCUGUGGAAGAGGGAGAGAAAGGUUUGAAGAAGCCAUAGAGGUCACGGACACCACAAGAAAACCUACAGAAUCAACUAAUCUGGGCCCAUAGGGGCUCACUGAGACUGAAUCACCAGGCAGAGAACCUUCAUAGAAGGGAUUUGGGCACUCUACACACAUGUAACAGAUGUGGGACCCCUAACAGCAGAUGCAGGUGUUGUCUCGGACUCCGUUGUGGAUCCGUCUGUGGAUCCCUUUUC
rnacentral:lncRNA from 1 species